rnacentral:ncRNA from 1 species
GCUACUACCGAUGGAUUAUUUAGUGAGGUCUCUGGAGGCACACCUUCCGCGAUUCCUUCGUGAGUUGCAGUUGGCACGGCCGAAGUUGACCGAAGGCUUGAUGAUUUAGAGGAAGUAAAAGUCGUAACAAGGUUUCCGUAGGUGAACCUGCGGAAGGAUCAUUA